CCAUUUACAGGAGACUCUGGCAGCCUGCUGCUUCCUAGACAGAAAAUCCAGCAAGCAGCCUGUUCCAUCUCCUCACCAGAUUCCUGGUGUCAUUUCUGCAGAGGCAGGACCUCAUCUGUUGCUCCAUCUUGGAGAAAGAACUACAAGGCAGGCUCAAAGGCAGAGGCAGGCUCAAAGCAAGCUGAGCCUUCUGGAAGCCAAAGGAAUGCAAGAAAUCACACAGCUUAAGAAAGCCAGACAAUGCAAACAUCACAUAAAUCUGGGAAGAAGUUUAACCCAAAAUACUUGCUGACCUUUGCUGAUGCUCCCCUUCAUCUCCCCAGUAUUUUAUGCUUCUGAAACCCAGCCCCAGCACUGGCAGAUCUUCAGAGAAGUCAGUUCUUGCACAAACAGGAAAGCAGACUCCCUUCCCACUAAUUUAGGGGGUGUUUCCAGAGGACACAGGGGCAGGGAGGUGUGUUUGCCUCCAGGACCAGGCUUGAGGCUGGUCUGGAAUAAAUUAAUUUCUCAGGUGGGCAGAUUUAGCCCUUCCUGUGUAUAAAAUUCAGACAAAUUCAAAUAUUUCAUCUGUUUGUCCUAUGGGGAACUGAUUUCUUCAUUCCAUUCCACAUCCAGUGUUGUCCAAGGGCUGGACCCUGCCACUGACCCUCCUGACUGUAUUUCUUAGGGACUGUCUGGAUGCAACUCAAUCCCAUUUCAAUUUAAUGAGCUGAAAUGAAACACAAUGGUACCUGGGACCAUCCACCCUCAAUCUUCUCCUUCUCCUGUGACUGUCACAACUCCUGCAGCAGCAUCUGGGGUGAUCAAAGCUUGGGGAUCACCGCUGCCUUUGAUUUUUUCUUGCCCAGCCAAGAUGUAAAUUGGUGGAGGCCCCACCAUAGGCAGGAGGAAAAGGUGAAUUAUUUCACUUCUGCAAGCUGGAUGAGCAGGACAAGAAGGUGACUUCAGAAACCUUGUAGGGAUGGGGUGAGAACAAAGGCUGGUAGCUGCUGAUUGGGACUGAAUGGAGGUGGGAGUGAUCAGGGGGUCCCUUUCCAGAAGCAGCCAAGGUGUCUGAUGUGCUUCUACAGCUCUUUGCCAAAUGGUCAGAAAGGAGCCAAAGCAAAAGGGAACAUCUGCUGGCCUCACAGGGUCAAGCUGGCAAACAGGCAAAGCUGGUGGGGGAGUCACAGAGGUGUCUUGGAGGCCCCUUUCUCCCUAAAGCCUGGACAAUUAGACUGUUCAAUCCCAUUUCUGUGG